GAGUACUACGAGCAUUAGCUUAAAACCCAAAGGACUUGGCGGAGCUUUAGCCCACCUAGAGGAGCCUGUUCUAUAACCUAUAACCCCCGUUAAACCUUACCUUUUCUUGUUCUUCCCGCCUAUAUACCGCCGUCGUCAGCUCACCCUGUGAAGGAUACUCAGUAAGCAAAGACAAUAUAAUUUAAAACGUCAGGUCGAGGUGUAGCAUAUGAAAAGGAAAGAAAUGGGCUACAUUUCCUAUGUCAGGAUAUUACGGACAACAUUAUGAAAAUAAGAAUCAAAGGAGGAUUUAGCAGUAAGCAGGGACCAGCACACCCCGCUGAAGCUGGCCCUGAAGCACGCACACACCGCCCGUCACUCUCCCUAAACACCACACCCUAAAUAUAUAAUAACAAUCUAAAACAAAAGGGAGGCAAGUCGUAACAUGGUAAGUAUACCGGAAGGUGUACUUGGCUAAC
rnacentral:rRNA from 1 species